UCGGGACCGCAACUCCGAGGCACAGGGCCUGCGCUUCCAUUGGAAGCAUGGCGCUGCGUCCGUGAUCCGCGGAUCACCGGGCGAACGGGGAAACGCGUUCGCCUCCCGAACAUUGGAAAGGAGCAAACAGCAUGACCCC
rnacentral:ncRNA from 2 species